rnacentral:rRNA from 1 species
GACGAACGCUGGCGGCGUGCUUAACACAUGCAAGUCGAACGAUGAAGCCUUUCGGGGUGGAUUAGUGGCGAACGGGUGAGUAACACGUGGGCAAUCUGCCCUGUACUUUGGGAUAAGCCUUGGAAACGGGGUCUAAUACCGGAUAUCACUUACCUCCGCAUGGGGUUUGUUGAAGUUACUGCGGUACAGGAUGAGCCCGCCGGCCUAUCAGCUUGUUGGUGGGGUAGUGGCCUACCAAGGCGACGACGGGUAGCCGGCCUGAGAGGGUGACCGG